rnacentral:rRNA from 1 species
CUACGUGCCAGCAGCCGCGGUAAUACGUAGGGUGCGAGCGUUAAUCGGAAUUACUGGGCGUAAAGCGGGCGCAGACGGUUACUUAAGCAGGAUGUGAAAUCCCCGGGCUCAACCUGGGAACUGCGUUCUGAACUGGGUGACUAGAGUGUGUCAGAGGGAGGUAGAAUUCCACGUGUAGCAGUGAAAUGCGUAGAGAUGUGGAGGAAUACCGAUGGCGAAGGCAGCCUCCUGGGAUAACACUGACGUUCAUGCCCGAAAGCGUGGGUAGCAAACAGGAUUAGAUACCCUGGUAGUCCACGCCCUAAACGAUGUCGAUUAGCUGUUGGGCAGCAUGACUGCUUAGUAGCGAAGCUAACGCGUGAAAUUGACCGCCUGGGGAGUACGGUCGCAAGAUUAAAACUCAAAGGAAUUGACGGGGACCCGCACAAGCGGUGGAUGAUGUGGAUUAAUUCGAUGCAACGCGAAGAACCUUACCUGGUCUUGACAU